AUCCAGAUGACGAGUUCAUAAUAGGACGAAACGCCCGUUAAACUGGAU
rfam:Schistosoma rodhaini strain Burundi genome assembly, scaffold: SROB_scaffold0005280